AGAGUUUGAUCAUGGCUCAGAACGAACGCUGGCGGCAGGCUUAACACAUGCAAGUCGAGCGCCCCGCAAGGGGAGCGGCAGACGGGUGAGUAACGCGUGGGAACCUACCCAAUUCUACGGAAUAACUGAGGGAAACUUCAGCUAAUACCGUAUACGCCCUACGGGGGAAAGAUUUAUCGGAGUUGGAUGGGCCCGCGUUGGAUUAGCUAGUUGGUGAGGUAAUGGCUCACCAAGGCGACGAUCCAUAGCUGGUCUGAGAGGAUGAUCAGCCACACUGGGACUGAGACACGGCCCAGACUCCUACGGGAGGCAGCAGUGGGGAAUAUUGGACAAUGGGCGAAAGCCUGAUCCAGCCAUGCCGCGUGAGUGAUGAAGGCCUUAGGGUUGUAAAGCUCUUUCAGUGGGGAAGAUAAUGACGGUACCCACAGAAGAAGCCCCGGCUAACUUCGUGCCAGCAGCCGCGGUAAUACGAAGGGGGCUAGCGUUGUUCGGAUUUACUGGGCGUAAAGCGCACGUAGGCGGAUUGUUAAGUCGGGGGUGAAAUCCCAGGGCUCAACCCUGGAACUGCCUUCGAUACUGGCAAUCUCGAGUCCGGAAGAGGUGAGUGGAACUCCUAGUGUAGAGGUGGAAUUCGUAGAUAUUAGGAAGAACACCAGUGGCGAAGGCGGCUCACUGGUCCGGUACUGACGCUGAUGUGCGAAAGCGUGGGGAGCAAACAGGAUUAGAUACCCCAGUAGUCC
rnacentral:rRNA from 1 species